GAUGAACGCUGGCGGCGUGCCUAAUACAUGCAAGUCGAGCGAACAGACGAGGAGCUUGCUCCUCUGACGUUAGCGGCGGACGGGUGAGUAACACGUGGAUAACCUACCUAUAAGACUGGGAUAACUUCGGGAAACCGGAGCUAAUACCGGAUAAUAUAUUGAACCGCAUGGUUCAAUAGUGAAAGACGGUUUUGCUGUCACUUAUAGAUGGAUCCGCGCCGCAUUAGCUAGUUGGUAAGGUAACGGCUUACCAAGGCAACGAUGCGUAGCCGACCUGAGAGGGUGAUCGGCCACACUGGAACUGAGACACGGUCCAGACUCCUACGGGAGGCAGCAGUAGGGAAUCUUCCGCAAUGGGCGAAAGCCUGACGGAGCAACGCCGCGUGAGCGAUGAAGGUCUUCGGAUCGUAAAACUCUGUUAUUAGGGAAGAACAAAUGUGUAAGUAACUAUGCACGUCUUGACGGUACCUAAUCAGAAAGCCACGGCUAACCACGUG
rnacentral:rRNA from 1 species